rnacentral:rRNA from 1 species
UGCAGUCGAACGGAAAGGCCCUUCGGGGUACUCGAGUGGCGAACGGGUGAGUAACACGUGGGUGAUCUGCCCUGCACUUUGGGAUAAGCCUGGGAAACUGGGUCUAAUACCGAAUAUGACUGCGCACUUCCUGGUGUGUGGUGGAAAGCUUUUGCGGUGUGGGAUGGGCCCGCGGCCUAUCAGCUUGUUGGUGGGGUAAUGGCCUACCAAGGCGACGACGGGUAGCCGGCCUGAGAGGGUGACCGGCCACACUGGGACUGAGAUACGGCCCAGACUCCUACGGGAGGCAGCAGUGGGGAAUAUUGCACAAUGGGCGCAAGCCUGAUGCAGCGACGCCGCGUGAGGGAUGACGGCCUUCGGGUUGUAAACCUCUUUCAAUAGGGACGAAGCGCAAGUGACGGUACCUAUAGAAGAAGGACCGGCCAACUACGUGCCAGCAGCCGCGGUAAUACGUAGGGUCCGAGCGUUGUCCGGAAUUACUGGGCGUAAAGAGCUCGUAGGUGGUUUGUCGCGUUGUUCGUGAAAACUCACAACUCAAUUGUGGGCGUGCGGGCGAUACGGGCAGACUAGAGUACUGCAGGGGAGACUGGAAUUCCUGGUGUAGCGGUGGAAUGCGCAGAUAUCAGGAGGAACACCGGUGGCGAAGGCGGGUCUCUGGGCAGUAACUGACGCUGAGGAGCGAAAGCGUGGGGAGCGAACAGGAUUAGAUACCCUGGUAGUCCACGCCGUAAACGGUGGGUACUAGGUGUGGGUUCCUUCCUUGGGAUCCGUGCCGUAGCUAACGCAUUAAGUACCCCGCCUGGGGAGUACGGCCGCAG